rnacentral:rRNA from 1 species
UACGAAGGGGGCUAGCGUUGCUCGGAAUCACUGGGCGUAAAGCGCACGUAGGCGGAUCGUUAAGUCGGAGGUGAAAUCCUGGAGCUCAACUCCAGAACUGCCCUCGAUACUGGCGAUCUUGGAGUCCGGGAGAGGUGAGUGGAACUCCGAGUGUAGAGGUGAAAUUCGUAGAUAUUCGGAAGAACACCAGUGGCGAAGGCGGCUCACUGGCCCGGUACUGACGCUGAGGUGCGAAAGCGUGGGGAGCAAACAGG